rnacentral:rRNA from 1 species
UACGUAGGGUGCAAGCGUUGUCCGGAAUUAUUGGGCGUAAAGAGCUCGUAGGCGGUUUGUCGCGUCGGGCGUGAAAAUCCAGGGCUUAACCCUGGACCUGCGUUCGAUACGGGCAGACUAGAGUUCGGUAGGGGAGACUGGAAUUCCUGGUGUAGCGGUGAAAUGCGCAGAUAUCGGGAGGAACACCAAUGGCGAAGGCAGCUCGCUGGGACGGUACUGACGCUGAGACGCGAAAGCGUGGGGAGCGAACAGG